CCUACGUGAGACAGCAGUGAGGAAUAUUGGUCAAUGGGCGCGAGCCUGAACCAGCCAAGUAGCGUGAAGGAUGACUGCCCUACGGGUUGUAAACUUCUUUUAUAAAGGAAUAAAGUGAGGCACGUGUGCCUUUUUGUAUGUACUUUAUGAAUAAGGAUCGGCUAACUCCGUGCCAGCAGCCGCGGUAAUACGGAGGAUCCGAGCGUUAUCCGGAUUUAUUGGGUUUAAAGGGAGCGUAGAUGGGUUGUUAAGUCAGUUGUGAAAGUUUGCGACUCAACCGUAAAAUUGCAAUUGAUACUGGCAGUCUUGAGUACAGUUGAGGUAGGCGGAAUUCGUGGUGUAGCGGUGAAAUGCUUAGAUAUCACGAAGAACUCCGAUUGCGAAGGCAGCUUACUAAACUGCCACUGACAUUGAUGCUCGAAAGUGUGGGUAUCAAACAGGAUUAGAUACCCCGGUAGUC
rnacentral:rRNA from 1 species